AAAGUUCUAAUCAAACAAUUUUCCUACUCUCCAGGUUAAGAGGCCUUCAUCAGGCCUCUUUAUGCACAUGGGGAUUUCAGAAUUCAUAUUGACAAGUAACUUGUGCCCCCCCAUGAUUUCUACCAUUAUAUGUUGGAUGUGUAUAGGGAGACUGUAGGCAGAUUCUUAGUUCCCAGGGCUACAAGGAACCACAUUCAGACCUGACAGAGAAUAUCCUUUUAUUCAGAGAUCCUGAACUUAGAGCUUUAUACAGUGAUCAGAUGGGACUUUGAUUGUUUCCCUUGGAGAAGAGUGAAUGUCUUCUAUAUGCAGGAAGGGUGAAACAUAUUUGGUGACCAGAGGUAGAGUAUAGCCAAGAAUGCUACUGCUUGGCAAUAUGAGCUAUAGCUUCUGGCCUUCUUUAAAAUUAGGAGUGGUCAAUUGGCUGCAUUCUGGUCAAUUGAAUGUAAGUGCAAAACGUUUAAAGGAAAUGAUUACAGUUGCCACCAUCUCCUUGAUUAUUAAUUAAAGGCUUUUCUUCAAUUAUCA
rnacentral:antisense_RNA from 1 species